GACGAACGCUGGCGGCAGGCCUGAGGCAUGCAAGUCGAACGAGAAAGUGUAGCAAUACACAAGUAGAGUGGCGCACGGGUGAGUAAUGUAUGGGAAUCUGCCCAGAAGUGGGGAAUAACAGUUGGAAACGACUGCUAAUACCGCAUACGCCGGAAACGGGAAAGAUUUAUCGCUUUUGGAUGAGCCCAUAUUGGAUUAGUUAGUUGGUGGGGUAAAGGCCUACCAAGGCGAUGAUCCAUAGCUGGUUUGAGAGAAUGAUCAGCCACACUGGGACUGAGACACGGCCCAGACUCCUACGGGAGGCAGCAGCUAGGAAUAUUGGACAAUGGGCGAAAGCCUGAUCCAGCCAUGCCGCGUGAGUGAAGAAGGCCUUCGGGUUGUAAAACUCUUUAAUAGGAGAUGAUGACGGUACCUAUAGAAUAAGCACCGGCUAACUUCGUG
rnacentral:rRNA from 1 species